GACGAACGCUGGCGGCGUGCCUAAUACAUGCAAGUCGAGCGCUCGAGGGAGGUACUUGUACCUACUGGAUGAGCAGCGAACGGGUGAGUAACACGUGGGGAACCUGCCUUUGAGAGGGGGACAACAUCUGGAAACGAAUGCUAAUACCGCAUAAAAACUUUAACCACAAGUUUUAAGAUUGAAAGAUGCAAUUGCAUCACCUAAAGAUGAUCCCGCGUUGUAUUAGCUAGUUGGUAAGGUAAAGGCCUACCAAGGCAAUCAUACAUAGCCGACCUGGAAGGGUGAUCGCCCCCACUGGAACUGGGACACGCCCCAACCCCUUCCGGGGGCAGCAGUAGGGGAUUCUCGGCAAUUGACGGAAGUCUGGCCGGGCAACGGCGCGUGGAGUAAGGAGGUUCUCGGAUCGUUAAACUCUGGAUGUAAGGGAGAACGUUAGGGGGAGGUGAAUGCGCAUCAAGUGACGGUACCUACCCAGAAAGGGACGGCUAACUACGUG
rnacentral:rRNA from 1 species